AAUACCAAACAAUAACCAAGAAGUAUGAUGCAAGGAUGCAAAUAGUUUGAGCUCUCAACGAACGAUACGAUCAAGCUACUCACUUGAGAGCCCCCCUUGACAGUACGACAAUCUAUCCUAAAACAAAAAACCUAUCAAGGACAAACAUAUACCUUGCACCUCGUCUUCUUGAGCUAGAUGACGAUGAUCUUGGCUUCCUCAAGAUGGACCACUAUUAUUGAUUGCUCCCCCAUACACACUCUGGGUGAGCCGCUCUUCAACAUAUCUUCACAAGUCCAUUGCCACCAUCCUCCACCACUUGACGUCAUCCUCCAUGGAUUGUAUGAGAUCUUCCUCUUGACGCAAGCCCAUGGAAACACACCUAACCCCACAUAGAACUAUCACGAAGACCAUGGGUUAGUACACAAAUACG
rnacentral:lncRNA from 1 species